CUAGCACGCCUCCAUUCCCCAUCGGGCCUGGCAUCGCUCUCUUUCCCUUACCCUCCUUCUCCACCUCCGGCCGCCGCCACGGUCAGGCCGGCGUGGUGGUGCGCCUCCCGCCUCAUCACCCAUCUCCAUCCACCACUCCACCAUCACCCUGCACCACCAGCACCCCCACCAUCAUUCCGCGCCAUCCAUCCACCAUCUCCAGCCACCGCCGCAUCUGGCGCGACCCACCAAACUGCCCGUCUGGUGUCCCGCGCGAGCACGCCAUCCACCACUUCCACUCCUCCCUCUCUGUUGUUGCUGCUCCUUCCUCUGCUCUCUGCCUGCUGGUGCUUCUUCCCCUUCCCUUGCCCCAACCUGCUGCUUCUUCUUCUCCACGAACCUGCUGCUCUUCUUCUUCUCUCAACGCUCCUGCUGCUCCUUCUCUUUGCGCCUCCUUGCUGAUGCCCUUCUCUGAACCUGCUGCUGCUACUGCGCCUUGCUGCUCUUCUACUACCCUCGCUGCUGCUUCUUCUCUCAACCUGCUACUGCCCCCUGCUACUCUUCUCUCUGUACUCUUGCUGUUGCGCCUCUAUCCUCUUCUUCCUCAAAUCCUGCUGCUGCUCCUUUCUCCCUAAUUCCCUUCUUCUCCCUUCCUUGCUGCUGUUCCUUUCUGAAGAAAACGACCCUGCUGUUCUUCUAUGAAUCCCCAACUCGCUCCUGCAGUUUCUAUCUCUUUCUCUCUCUGUAAUUCACAGGAGUUAGUACUGUAUAAUAUAGUGAUUUGUUCAAUUUCAGACUUGGUGUUUGUAGUGUUAUAUUGGUGAUCUGUGAGCUGAACCGUGGCAUGUGUCACUCAGUUUGUAUGCUUGAUAAUUAGCUAUAUAUAUCCCCUGUCCAUUUCUUGCUUAAGAACCUUGUUUCAUUGUGUAGUCUCUGUGAUAGCUCCAGUACAUGUGAUUUUUGUGUUGUCUCAAGUACCUGUUAUAUAUAUACAUAUGUGUGUGUCUGUGAUGUGAUACAUUUAUGUUCUGUCCUACAACCUUGUUUCUUCCCCCUGUUAAUUGCUAGAUAUAUAUAUAGAUAUGUUCAUGUCUUUUUAAUUCCUUAGCCGUUUGAUGUUUGCUUGUUUUAGCAUUUUCUUUCUCAAGUAUAACGAAAAUAUCAAAAAGACCGAGUAAAGAUAAUCUUCAUCUCCCUUUGCUUCUGCGUCAUUUCCUUUGUUGAUGAUCUUUGUUAGUGUUAGGUUUAUUUUCUGUUUUCAUCACCCAAUAUUGUGUUACCUAGAUUUAGCCGAGUGUAGUCGCUGAUCGCCUAGUUCCUGAGGAGAACACGACACUUGCAGAUUUGGGCGAAAUAUCCCACUGUACUUUCAAUUGAUCAUUUUGGCGCCGUUGCCGGGGACUAGCGUCGUGCGACCGUGUUAGGCUAUAGACUAGGUUUUUCUUCUUUUUCUAGUUUGUGCCAUAUAUUUGUGAUAUAUCUCUAACUCCUAACCCGUGUUCUAGUUUAUUUUCUCUUUGUUUUCUUUUCCUUUUUGCAGGUUAGAACUAUCUUCUCGGUAAUGGCUUACUAUUCAGAUCAUCAUGCUUAUGCGAGCAACACUACAAACAGCACGGAAAGUAUUCAAGAACUGAUAAGUAAGAUUUCCCAUCGAUUAGAUGAUUUAGCUCGGCAGCGAGAAGUAGUUUUUGAGGAUAGGUCUAGCUCUUAUGAUCCUUAUUCUAGAGGUCAUCCUUAUGUUGCUCCUACAUGCCAUAUUUGUGGAUUUCAGGGCCAUUCACCCGCUGAAUGUCAGCGUGGUUACUCUCACCCUCCCGAUUGUUAUGGCAUGAGCUUCGCCCCACAGCCUAGCUCAUACCAAAACAAUUACUCAUAUGGGUGGCCUGAAAACCAGAAUAUGUCAUAUAGGAACAACAGCCCUGAGAUCUCAUCGUUUGCCUCUAGUUAUCCAUUGCAGGGAAUUAGGUACAAUGAGGAGAGCCACAACCAUGCACCACAACAGUUUUAUUCACCUCCUACUCAUAUACCGCAGCACCAGGAGAUGUGUCCAAUGGAGUUAAAUGGUCCUCCAUUUGGUCAACCAACAACUCCAGCACCUGUUGUGCAAUCUCAUGUGCAAGUGCCCACACAAGAUGAGUUCGAUGACAUAGACAAGCUCACACUUUUGAGUCUCGAGUUCACUUGGAGUGCCGAGGAUGAUCCUAUUAGGAAGGUGAUACUUGAGGAAAUGAAGAAGAUUAAGAGUGGAAAGGAGCUAGUGGAAGAAGUAAGGAAGAUUGAGAAGAACAUCAACGCUGGCAGUACUAUCUCUUCCCUCCUUGAGCUGAGUGUUGCUGGGAUAUACCUUGAGGUGUGUGAGGUUCGAACACCUUCACAUUCAGCUGAGCAAGAUAGCGAGAGUCCAGAGGAAGAGAUACUUCAGAUCCAAGAAGAGAUUCUCGAAGCCAAGGCACAAGAUGAUCCAGAGCUCAACUACCCAAGUGAUCAGGUCGAAGACCUUGAAGAUCCAAUGUAAAUCCUUCCUGAAGAAGUAAAAGAAGCUCCUGUAGUUGAAGAUGAAGAACCAGAAAUCAUUUGCCCAUCGUCAUACAAGAGCGUGAUGUAGCAGGUUUAUCUAAUCCUCUUGAUGACAUGCGUCCAUAUGAUCUGUUUGCUACUACUUUGCAUUGCAUGAUACCAUCAAUUAAGCUAGACUUGAAAAACUGUUUGCUUGGACAUGAUCAUACAUACCCUGUUAUUGGCAUUUCUCUCAUUUAUGAUGACACUUAUUCUCCUUAUGCUAGUCCUAUGCUUUUAAUGAAACAUAUCAUUCCCAUGCUAGUCUUGAGCUUAAUGAUAAAUAUCAUCCUCAUGUUAGUGUUGACCUUGCUGAUUUCUACCAUCCUAAAUAUGUGCUUUAUAGCUAUGCUUAUGUAAUUGGAUACUCGAUUGAUGACUUGGAGGGUAUUAUCCCUACCGCUUGCAUCGUCUCUUUUGUGGAGUGUUCUUUCAGGUUUUUGCUUCUGCAUCGUUCACUUCAUGCUGAUCAGGUUCGAGGUGACAUUCCUUGGGACCCUGGUGGACUCAGAGCAUGGGGAUGAGGAGAAGCAAGGGGGCACACACGAAGAAGAGUGAAGCUGGAGCAUCCAUGAGGAAGCAAAAGGAAGAGCUGCAGUUCAGAGAGUGAUUGUGCGAGACCUACAUCAUAUAAGCUCGGUGAGAUGUUUCAUGACCCAUUCUGAAAUAAUCAUCCAUUGAUGCUUGCUGAAUUAAAUUGCUUUUUGGUUUCUUGAGUCAUUUCUUAAAUAUCGUCCCACUAAAUUUUACCUUCGACAUAUGGUGCUUGAUGUGAAUAUGUGAGUUGAUUGUUGAAUGCCUUGUAAACUAGUGAUCUACACAAUGCUUGCUUUGCUGAAAGUAGUGGAAGCUAUUAGUUUUGAGUGCUCAAAUCCCUAGUACACUAGAAAACUUAAUCAUUUUCUGCUUUUACCUUGAUACACCUAGAUCAUUAAGUGUCAGAUGCUGAGUUUGUGCCCAAUGUGUUCCCAUUCAGAGCAAUCAUUUCACCACUAUGGAUUAGCAUGCUAUGUUCUCUGGAUUGGUAGCAUGUGAACCAGACCUGGUUGAAUGAUGAUUCUUGUGUUUGUUCAUUAAAAAAGGCAUAUCUUAUAGUGAAUAAUUAUUUGAUCUACCUAACAGUAGCAUGUCAUGUUCCCUGGAUCGGUGGCUUGUGAAAUCUGGUUGGAUCGGAUAGGAGUUAAUUAUAUUAAAAAAAUGUAAUUGUCGAACCAGGUGUAUACCAUGUUCUCGGGAUCGGUGGUAUGUUCCUUUGGGGAGACAAACUAAAAAAAACUAAUUAUUGGUCGAGCCAGGUGUAUACCAUAUUCUCGGGAUCGGUGGUAUGUUCCUUCGGUGAGACUGAUAAAAUAUUAUCAUUACUUCCUUCAAAUUUAAUAAGUGGUUCAACCACAAUGUUAUAUUUCUGCUAAUAAGUGAUUUAAUUCAAGUUCCUUUUGUUCUCAGGAUCAUGCUCUCUUAGGAACCUUUUGGCACAGUCAGCAUUUGAACUUGCUAAUCUUCGUUUAUCAUUGCAAAAGUUUAAAAUGGUCGAGUUUACUAGUGUCUUAUUGAUAUGUAGCACUCUUAACCAUUAAUUUUCACUAGCCAAGUCCAAAGCAUGCACUGUUUAGAGAUCUACUUCACUUGACAUUCUCUAGUCAGUUCACUGUUCAUGUUCUUGCUCUUGUCACCCUUUGCUUGAGGACAAGCAAAGAUUUAAGUGUGGGGGAACUUGAUAAGCACAUUUCUUAUACAUAAUUUUGGCAUACAAAUAUACCAUUUAUUGAGUUCUGACCACCAAUUCUUGUUUUAAAUAUAGAAUAAUUGAAUGAAAAUCAUAAAAAAGGAUUGUUGACUAGUCACUUGUUUAUUUUGCAGAAAAGUGUGACAAGGCACAAAAUCCUUCUACUACAAAUGAUCAAGUGAUGGAGUCAAGGUCCCGAGCGAGAAGAAAAGAAGUUACCAGGGGCUAGCUAAAGAAGAGAAGGGAUCUUCUUGUGAAGAAAGAAGAAAGCAGGAGGGUCAAUGUGAAAAUGUCCAGAUCAGCCGUGAGGGGAUCAAAAUCCCUAGCACGCCUCCAUUCCCCAUCGGGCCUGGCAUCGCUCUCUUUCCCUCACCCUCCUUCUCCACCUCCGGCCGCCGCCACGGUUAGGCCGGCGUGGUGGUGCACCUCCCGCCUCAUCACCCAUCUCCAUCCACCACUCCACCAUCACCCUGCACCACCAGCACCCCCACCAUCAUUCCGCGCCAUCCAUCCACCAUCUCCAGCCACCGCUGCAUCUGGCGCGACCCACCAAACUGCCCGUCUGGUGUCCCGCGCGAGCACGCCAUCCACCACUUCCACUCCUCCCUCUCUGUUGUUGCUGCUCCUUCCUCUGCUCUCUGCCUGCUGGUGCUUCUUCCCCUUCCCUUGCCCCAACCUGCUGCUUCUUCUUCUCCACGAACCUGCUGCUCUUCUUCUUCUCUCAACGCUCCUGCUGCUCCUUCUCUUUGCGCCUCCUUGCUGAUGCCCUUCUCUGAACCUGCUGCUGCUACUGCGCCUUGCUGCUCUUCUACUACCCUCGCUGCUGCUUCUUCUCUCAACCUGCUACUGCCCCCUGCUACUCUUCUCUCUGUACUCUUGCUGUUGCGCCUCUAUCCUCUUCUUCCUCAAAUCCUGCUGCUGCUCCUUUCUCCCUAAUUCCCUUCUUCUCCCUUCCUUGCUGCUGUUCCUUUCUGAAGAAAACGACCCUGCUGUUCUUCUAUGAAUCCCCAACUCGCUCCUGCAGUUUCUAUCUCUUUCUCUCUCUGUAAUUCACAGGAGUUAGUACUGUAUAAUAUAGUGAUUUGUUCAAUUUCAGACUUGGUGUUUGUAGUGUUAUAUUGGUGAUCUGUGAGCUGAACCGUGCAUGUCUCAUUGAGAGGAAAAUACAGGAAAAUGUAUACUGGGUUCAAAAAUAUAGAAGUGUCGUGCAUGGUUAUACUCAUGUUAUCUCGCAAUCGAUUCUUCACAGGAAACUACCAUGUCAUGCAUGUUAUGUAAUCAUGUUCUAUCCUCACAAACAAAUUCUUCAAGGAA
rnacentral:lncRNA from 1 species